AUUUUGACUCACUCAAAGAUCUUUUGCAGCUGCUGGAUCUCUGUGAAUCCACGAAACAAAGGCCUGCAGAAAAGAAAGAGCUCUGCAAAGAUGCACCCAGCACUCCACAUAUCCACAGAAGACAUGUAACUGGACAGCAGCAGGACCUCUGGAGCCCUGUACCACAGAGUCACAACCUACACACACACAAAUACAAAUACAUCACAUGUAGGUGCUCACUACCACCACACAUAUUUCUGUGAAUGUGAAUCUGAGCUCCAUACACAUGGGGUGAGGGCGAUAUGAUCCCGGUGAAUGACGGUGUUAGUGUGGAGGAAGUCAAGUCCGCUGAGCAGCUGACGCAUCACAUCCUAUAUAAAGAGAGAGGAAAAAACGCACAAAUCUAUGCUCUAGUCUUUAAUUGAUCCAU